CCGGACUGGCCUUUUCAUUGUCUUCUUCUUCUUUGGGAUUUUAUGACUGUCGUUCAUUCAUGUCAUUGCAUUACCGCCACCUUGUGGAUCUUACGAUCAUCACGUUCAUUUAAAUGUGCGGUGCUGGUGGUCGAGUGUAAAUGACUUUUAACGGGUUUUUCUACUUGAAUUUUCUACCGGUAUUUUAAUAAUAGUUUGUAUUUAUUUAUGUUUUAGCUCUCAGGAUUGAAGGUGGUGCGUUUGGCCCAGAUGGUGGCGCCCCCUGUUGCUGUGGCUGUCCCGUGAUCAACAUAAAUCGAUGGAGGGAAAUCCAACGAGUGUUUGUGACGUCACGGUGUUUGGUGAUUCUUUGCUCGGGAGCCUCCGAUCCAGAACCUGUCAGCACCUACCGCCAAGCCUCGGCAACUCAGCUUAAUUUUUCUAACUCCUUCUUAUCUACAUAGAGGCUCGCUCCUCUGGUCACUGUUUGCUCGAUUACCUGUCCGCCCUCCAACACCACCUCCACCAGCGAUCUACACCAAACUCUGAGACUCCACACGCCACCAACAAGCAGCCUCGACUCCAGCAGCCCCCACCGCUUCUUCCUCCCUGGCAGAUUAACUGCAUUUCAUCAAGAUGCAGUCGAUCCUAUACAGUGGACUCCGGGACAAGAUUCACAUUUCAUUCAAUUCUCUGGACAAAAUAAACUGUAUUGAACUGAUUCACCGGCUUCAUGUUUGUUCUGUAUGUGGGUCAAGUGGAUCAAUCCCCUCAUGACAGAAAUUAUGCUUUAACCCUCAGAUUUUAACAAAUGUAACUUUAUAUGAACAUUACAUUUUUUAUGGCUUUCUUUUUAUUUGUCUAAAAGAAGAAAAUCUGGAUUUAUACACAUAAUUGCUCGACUCUGGAGAACCUGGCCGUCCUGUGGGACAUUGUUGCUGGUACGGGUCUAGGUUUUGGGCAUCUGGGGUCUGUGGCCCUCAUCUGGGGAGGGACAUUAGUGACCCUGUGAAUGACUUCUGGCGGCAGCAUGUGGUGAGUUUGGGGCUCCUUACAGCUUGAGAUGGGUUACUGGCAUGGUGGCCGUAUUGUUCCUGGGGUAGUCUUGGGAUUCUGGGGGCGUAUUUUCCCUGGAUCCUGGCUGAACCCUGAGACUUGGGUUCUGCUCAGUAUGUAGUCUGGAUUUGGGGCCGGUUCAUGCACUGCAUGUUUGCACUGUGAAUUUUCAACAUGGUUUUGGGCUCUUUAUGCCACGUCUUGUCCUCAGUUGUGAGGUGGAUCGCAGUGGGGUGGUGGUGGUCCUGUGUCUGGAUGAUCCAGCAGUCUCUGUGUGAGCCUGUCUCUGUGUGGGUCUGUCAGGGUUGGGGUCGCUGAGCUCUCAUUAUGUUGGACUUCACAACAACCAUCGUCUUGUACCAGGUUAGGAUUGGCUUUUUUACUUAUCACUUGGCGGCUGGGAUGUUUAUGGACCUGUGAGGGGCUGCUUCCUUUUUCACAGUUGGUGCGUUGGCUUUUCUGUAGCAUCCUUCCUACUGGUGGUGUAGUCGGCAAGUUGAGAGGCUUGUGUUUUUGGCUUAUUUGUGUAUGAAGUGGUGAAAGUGCUUGUGUUGGCUGGUGUUUGCAUUUUGAUUGGCCCCUUUUUUUGGGUCUGGUAUCGUUUACUGUCUGUCUGUCUGUCUUGGUGUUGGCAUGGGCUGUGAUUUAUUGCUUUGCUAGCCUAUCUGUGGCCACAGCCUGGUGCUGGGCUGGGAUUCAGGGCUGUGGGUGGUAUUCUUGUUCUGGAUAUUGCGCUGAGCUGGCUGGUCGGUCCAUUUCUUGGGUUGGGGUUCUUUCAGUCAACCCGGUGCGCUGUAUGUCUGCUGGAUCUUCUUCAUUGGGACUAGGUGGAUCCUUUGGUUGGCAGGCUGGGUUUGUGACUUGGGAUAGGGGUUUGGUUUGAAUGAUUCCUAAGCUGGUGGUCCUGGUUCUGGUUGGCUGUUGGAUCUCUGUGUAUGAGAAAUGCAAGUGGGUGUAUGGCGUCCAUUUUUGUUUUGUUUAUUUUGACAUUAUAUACAUGGGUUUGAAUGUCUGGGUGUACACAUGAGAAUGGGAACAUGUGAUCUUGUCUCUGUGUGCCUGGUCUGUCUGUCAGGUUUGGUCUCUGGCUCCCUCCUCUCUGUGAUUACCUUUAUAUCAAGUUGGGUGAGAGGAGGGGGCCCCUAUAAAACUUUUUUCUCACCUUUCUUUUCUCUCCAGCUUUCUUCUCCGUCUCAUUACAAUUUAAUAAAAUAAACCCAAAGCAGUUUCUAAUAAAGUUUCAUGUAAUUAUAUCAGGGGGAAGCCAUAAUGGUCCACUUAUGCAAGUCUUUAGGGCUUAACCUUGGUACUCGGCAAUGCUGAGUGUCACACUGUCAGACAGGACAAGUUUAACACAAAACACAACAAAAAGACAAAAUGCAAGUGUUUAGUCAAUGGUAAAUGUAUGUAUAGCGAUUUAUCUAGUGCAGAGGAUGCCAAAGUGCUUUACAUGUUGAUGGUGGUAAGCUACAUUGUAGCCCAGCUGCCCUAGGGCAGACUGACAGAAGCUGCUACACAAUCGGCACCAUCGGACUUCUGACUAACAGCAGGCAAGGCAGGUUUGGUGCCUUGCUCAAGGACUCAACAACUGAGAUGGAUGUGUGUAGCGCCUUUCUCAACUGAGCAGAUCUGACUGCGAGGUGUAGUGUUAACCAGUUUGUAUAAUCAGAAGUAGGUACGGCACGGAGUCAUGAGUGGGGUGAAUAAUUAAUACAACUGAUACAAAAAAGUAAAGUUUGUUAAUAUUGCUAUUUAUUGCAGUGGCAAUAAUAAUAAUAAUAAUAAUAAUAAUACCAAAACAAAACAAUAAAUUUCCAAAAACAGAAGGGGAAAAAAACUAACCAACAAAAACAAUUAUAAUAAUAAUCAUUGAUACUUCAAACGUAAUAGAGUCCACAAUAGAUCCAAGAACAAAAAGAGAAUAAUUAUGUUCCCUUUUCAAUACUCAGAGUUUAGUACCAAAUUUCAUCGCUGCACCAACAUGGAAUGCAACACCAAUAAAGAAAUCAUG